UGUAAUAAUAGUUUUAAAAAA
rnacentral:piRNA from 1 species